AGCUACUGACGAGUCCCAAAUAGGACGAAAUGCGCGUCCUGGAU
rnacentral:hammerhead_ribozyme from 1 species